GACGAACGCUGGCGGCGUGCUUAACACAUGCAAGUCGAACGGAAAGGCCCUGCUUUUGUGGGGUGCUCGAGUGGCGAACGGGUGAGUAACACGUGAGUAACCUGCCCUUGACUUUGGGAUAACUUCAGGAAACUGGGGCUAAUACCGGAUAGGAGCUCCUGCUGCAUGGUGGGGGUUGGAAAGUUUCGGCGGUUGGGGAUGGACUCGCGGCUUAUCAGCUUGUUGGUGGGGUAGUGGCUUACCAAGGCUUUGACGGGUAGCCGGCCUGAGAGGGUGACCGGCCACAUUGGGACUGAGAUACGGCCCAGACUACUACGGGAGGCAGCAGUGGGGAAUAUUGCACAAUGGGCGGAAGCCUGAUGCAGCAACGCCGCGUGCGGGAUGACGGCCUUCGGGUUGUAAACCGCUUUCGCCUGUGACGAAGCGUGAGUGACGGUAAUGGGUAAAGAAGCACAGGCGAACUACGU
rnacentral:rRNA from 1 species